GGCGUCCUUCUAGAAGCCCAUCUCGCUCACCUGUGUGGUCACCCUUGUCCCGCCCUUCCUCCGAAGGCUUCAUUUCCCUUUAGAGGAGGAAGAACUCAGCCAACAGAGAAAAGCAGAGCUGAAAAUGGAGCCAGUGUGGAGAAGGAGAGGAAAGCAAAGAGCCUGGAUCCAGCUAUGCCUGAAAUUAGAGAUUCCAGAACUCUCAAACACACGAGUAAUAAACAUCCCUUUUGUUUAAAAUA